UGUGUCCUUUAAAUCAAAGCACAUCCCAAUAAAUACACAAAGCUGAAAUGAAGUUUUUCAAAUAAAUGGCAAUGCAAAAUUACUGAUUGGAACACGAAUAAUGUGUAUUCUGGAUUUGGGUGUAAUGAGUUUAACGCUACAUAAAACAUGUCUGUAAAAUGUAUUAUAAAUGGAGAUAAAACCUUAAGUUUAUUAAAAACUGUGUUUUAAUAAAGCAAGCCAUCUUGCAUAGUAUGAGAACUUAAAUGUAUUUUUUUUUUCAACAACCCUAGGUGGGAAAUGCAUUUAAAAAAACUGAAGCAAAACAAGAACUGCGCACCAUUGCAUCAUCUCCCUCAGACAAAUACGUGUUUCAAGUGGAGAACUUCGAUGCACUUGAAAUAAUAAGACAAAAUUUGCAAGAAAAAAUUUUCUCCAUUGAAGGAUCUCAAACCAGUGGAGAGACACUAAAAAUGGAAAUGUCUCAAGAGGGAUUCAGUGCAGUUUAUGUGCCUGAGGUAAUUACAGUUUUUCUCAGUCGCUUUGGUGCUUUUCUCAGAUCAAAAUGAAAAUUCUCAAAACCAUUAGUGCAACCUCCACAACAUUUAGUCAUUUGUGCACAUCAUAGUAGCAAUUUCUCCUUCCUCUGAACAAAUUGCAAAUGCUCUUGGACAUGUAUCAGUUGCUUUCAUACAAUUCUCUGCCAUCGACAACAUUAUCAUUUGCUUAUGUCAUGUCAGUCAAAAUGAACUAUACUUUUGGAAGCUAAAUAGUGGUUCCCAAUCAAACUAAUAGUCUUGAUUUCAUUGAGUCAUUAAAUACAAAAUUGGUGAAUUAGUUUUCAAAUGCUGUCAAGCAAAUGUUAUACCUUUUUUUCAUUAAUUUGUUCCUGUCCCUGAAAUUGAACAAUUUCUCUCAUGCCAUAGUCCCUGAGAAUGAGAAGGGUGGAGGUCAACUCAACAAAGGAGUUUUUGGCUGCCUGGAGGUUGAAGGUUUAUGACCGGCAUUCACAUGCACAAAUGGCCCUGCUAGCAGCCAUGGAUGCAGCAUGUGAUAACAUCACAGCAGAGUCAUGCAGAGGGUGGAUUCGCCACUCCAGGAGACUUUCCUUGCUGCAUUGCAAGGGAUGAUAUCCGUUGUGAUGUAGAUGAGACAGAAAGGAACGUCUGAAUGUGCCAGAAUGAUUUACGUUACAAUAUGUACUGUUAUAUUGUUCACAUUUGUGCACAGCUCUACCAAAAGGUUAUUUCUCAUGUUUAUUCUAAAUACGUGACUGUAGAGUAUUUUUCUUUUGCAC